rnacentral:rRNA from 1 species
AACGAACGCUGGCGGCAGGCUUAACACAUGCAAGUCGAACGGUUGUAGCAAUACAGCAGUGGCAGACGGGUGAGUAACACGUGGGAACCUUCCUAGGGGUACGGAACAACUCAGGGAAACUUGAGCUAAUACCGUAUACGUCCGCGAGGAGAAAGAUUUAUCGCCCUUAGACGGGCCCGCGUCGGAUUAGCUAGUUGGUGGGGUAACGGCCUACCAAGGCGACGAUCCGUAGCUGAUCUUAGAGGAUGAUCAGCCACACUGGGACUGAGACACGGCCCAGACUCCUACGGGAGGCAGCAGUGGGGAAUCUUGGACAAUGGGCGCAAGCCUGAUCCAGCCAUGCCGCGUGAGUGAAGAAGGUCUUCGGACUGUAAAGCUCUUUUGCCAGGGACGAUAAUGACGGUACCUGGAGAAUAAGCCCCGGCAAACUUCGUGCCAGCCGCCGCGGUAA